rnacentral:rRNA from 1 species
UACAGGGGGGGCAAGCGUUGUUCGGAAUUACUGGGCGUAAAGGGCUCGUAGGUGGCCAACUAAGUCAGACGUGAAAUCCCUCAGCUUAACUGGGGAACUGCGUCUGAUACUGGAUGGCUUGAGUUUGGGAGAGGGAUGCGGAAUUCCAGGUGUAGCGGUGAAAUGCGUAGAUAUGCGGAGGAACACCGAUGGCGAAGGCAAUCCCCUGGGCCUGCACUGACGCUCAUGCACGAAAGCGUGGGGAGCAAACAGG